GACUGUAUCGUCGCCCUCAACAGG
rnacentral:siRNA from 1 species